AAGAACACACAUGUUUUUUUUACUAUUUUAAAGAUGAUUUAAAAAAAAACAGCUAAUGACUAGUCACCGUUGUAGCCUUCAAAGCAACUUCAAAACCCUCCAACAACGGUUUGCAUACACACUUUUGUUUAAUGAACAAUGGAGACAGCAAAGAAGAAAGCUGUAGGUGGGAAGCGGUGUAUUAGCGGCCGGCUGCAGCAACACAACCAGGAGGACUUUGAGUUGGAUAGCAGACGCGCUACCCUCUCUGACAUUAGGUGCUUUGAGCUUGCCGUCCUUUUCCAGAGAACCUUUCCCGUCCUUGGCAGAAGAGCGUGGACUAUUACGUCGGGGCAGCUGCUUUAUGAAGUUUUUAAGUCCACUCUUCUUCUCGUCCGGUUCCUCCUACCCAGCCAGGCCUAUCUCCAAACGGGACAGUAAGGGUUCGCUGGAGGAAAGCUUGGAGGACCAGACGACUCUCAGCUUUGACCUCAAGCAGGGAAAUGGAGGAGACAGAAGAAGAGCGACCCAUUGUGUCUGACAUCUAAAGGUCCACACACGAGCUUCCCACUUGAGCCAGUCCUUACAUGGGAAGGAUACGGGAUGUGAUCGUAUUAAGGCGAGCAAACCGACCCUACUGGGGGAAUGUCAGAUCCAGUUGAUGAAUGAGCUGAUGCAGCACACUCGCUGUCAUCUCUUCCCCUCAUCUGACGUAUGCAUUUGCUUCUUUCCCAACAUACUGCUGUUUAGAAAGCAACAAAAUUACAUUCAAAUAAUUCACUCGCAUUUUUGGAAGAUUGCACCAAACUAAAGCGGGUCAGCACAGACCGAGUCAGUGGAGCAGGUUAAGAGCCAAGUAAUGUCUUUGGCAUGUCUGAGCUCAUCUCCACUUUCAGCCACUUUGCAGUCUUCAUCUCGACCUGAUCUCCUCGUCUCGCUCCGUCCAACUCAGCUGUCCCCCAAUGCUCCUCGUCUGUCAGCAGUUCAAACUGCAACCCUGGGACUGAGGGCAGAAGAGGAAAAAAAUUACAAAAUGGAUCUAUUGAUGAAUAUGUACAGUUGUUACCGCGGUUUUUCUUCAUAAUUUGUAAAUCCAAUUAAUUGGUUUCACACUGCAAAAACUGAAAUCUAAGUAAGAUUAAAUAUCUCAAAUAAGGGUGAUAUUUGCUUAUUUUCUGUCUG